GACGAACCGAGCGAACGUUGUUCGGAAUCACUGGGCUUAAAGGGCGCGUAGGCGGGCCAUCAAGUCCGGGGUGAAAUCCUCCGGCUUAACCGGAGAAUUGCCUUGGAUACUGGUGGUCUUGAGGGAAGUAGGGGUCUGCGGAACUUCCGGUGGAGCGGUGAAAUGUGUUGAUAUCGGAAGGAACGCCGGUGGCGAAAGCGGCGGACUGGGCUUCUUCUGACGCUGAGGAGCGAAAGCUAGGGGAGCAAACGGG
rnacentral:rRNA from 1 species